rnacentral:rRNA from 1 species
GAUGAACGCUGGCGGCGUGCCUAAUACAUGCAAGUCGAGCGAACAGAUGAGGAGCUUGCUCCUCUGACGUUAGCGGCGGACGGGUGAGUAACACGUGGAUAACCUACCUAUAAGACUGGGAUAACUUCGGGAAACCGGAGCUAAUACCGGAUAAUAUAUUGAACCGCAUGGUUCAAUAGUGAAAGACGGUUUUGCUGUCACUUAUAGAUGGAUCCGCGCCGCAUUAGCUAGUUGGUAAGGUAACGGCUUACCAAGGCAACGAUGCGUAGCCGACCUGAGAGGGUGAUCGGCCACACUGGAACUGAGACACGGUCCAGACUUCUACGGGAGGCAGCAGUAGGGAAUCUUCCGCAAUGGGCGAAAGCCUGACGGAGCAACGCCGCGUGAGUGAUGAAGGUCUUCGGAUCGUAAAACUCUGUUAUUAGGGAAGAACAAAUGUGUAAGUAACUAUGCACGUCUUGACGGUACCUAAUCAGAAAGCCACGGCUAACUACGUG